ACGCGAAAUGUAAUGAAUCCAGCUUCACUUUUGGUUUGGAUAGUUGUGUUAAACGAAAAAUGUCAUUGUAAAGAGAGGUAGAAUAAUGUUGGUAAAGUAAAUAGUUUUGAUAAUAGGUCAGCACGCAAACCUAAAUGACAUAGAAAGUGCUGAUUCUAGCAAUAUUUCGGCAGCCUUAUUACAAGAGACGGAUCACUUUUUGACAGGUAAAGUAGCAGUACAAGCAAAUGUGGAUUUUUUAAGACACGAGCUCUCUUUUGUUGAGGAUUUCGGAGAAAAUCGAUGCAUCAGGAUUGACGGUAAAAUUCAUGACUCAACAGCCGUAUAUUUUAUAUGUUCCAAGAUUGACUAAUCAGUGACAAGCUUAAUCAUCACGUGGUGAUGUCGAGUGAUAGUCUGCAAACUGCGCAUUCGUAGUGAAGUCCGUGGCUGUUGAGGUCGAGUUGAUUCAUAUGAAGAAAUCGAACUCUCGGCAUUAACACCAAACGCAAAGCCUAUCCCAAGGCAAUGCCCCAUUUGCGUGGUAAAAGGCAACACGACUGUGUACCUCCGGGUAACAGACCACGUUCGCUGGGUGCAAGCGCUGACGGCAGACCCCAUGAAGCCGUUGAUGUCAGAGGCACGUGCUAAGACCGGUCGGAAAGUGAAGAAGACAAAGACGAGGAAUUACUACUCUUGCUGGCUGUGCGACCGGUCGGUGAUUGACCGGCUGUGUCAUCUAGAACAGGAGCACAAAAUGGAGGCUGGGACAUUCAAUUUUGUUUACACAAGAGGGCCGUUUCCGGAAAGUCGCGAAAACUUCAGGAAAGGUGACCAGCAGACUCGCCACUCAUGAUGACUCGGCAUAGGAGGAUGAGAAGGUGGAGGAUGAGGAGGAGGAGGAAGAGGACUUUUCAUUCCUAACGCGGAAAUACUGCCUGAGCCUGGAACCCAAUGCAAGGGUGAUGCAUGGUCGGAGAAGCUGCAAUUUCAAUAGUUGACUCAUAUGUAGACUAAAUGUUCCUGCGGAGCAGGCCAGGUGGGUUGGCAAACGAGUCGAAAACACAAGAGGUCAACAUGAAGAUCAACCGGUUCCUGGCCCUGUCUGGCUACUUGGAAGGAGUGGUGUUGAGUGACGUGCUGUUGUGGAUGUGCCAUAUGGAGGUCCACGACAGUUCCUCAACACCACUCACCAGCUGAAGACGGUGCGGAAUGCACUAACGGCAAUCAAGAACUUCCUGAAGUGGUGCCAGGGAAUGGUCUAGCGGACGCCCGCACAUUGAACAAUGCUUCCUGACCUCAACCUGCCUGGAUAAGAGCCGUCGCGAGGUUGUUCGGAGGGUAGAGGAGAGUGCGGCCAUCCUGACGGACGCAAACCUGGAGCGCCACUUCACUGAAAGUGAGCAUGUAGUGAAAACGAUCAAGGUGUUCCAGGAGACCCCGCUGGCACACCUGAAAGAUAUUCGGGGAAUAAUCAUUAAACUGAUAGCGCUCUAUAAAGCCUCCUGAACCGGCAAGUAUACAAACCUGAGGGUAUGUAAUAUAAAUAAGCAUAGUAUUGAUUCGAAAAGAUAACCCUAAAUUACUUUUCAGACCAGAGUUGUUUUUCAGUAGCAAUUGCAUAGAAUUGAAUGAAACUUGAAGUUAAUAGGCAUUAAAAUUGGGUUUAUUUAAGUAUACAACAAAGCUGUUCGCCUGUUAAUUGACCGACUUGUCUUAUGUAUAAUAUUUUUACCAGAUUGUUACCUUGAAGACAGAUAAACUAUAAUGCAAAAGUUCAUUUUGACAUUCCAAAUUGGGGAAAGGCCUUGAAGCCAUUGUAAAAUUAAACUGUUAUGGCCCCUUAAUUGAUUGAAAAUGUCAAAUUUCUGUCUGCAUAUGUUGGUGUAUGAAUUUAGUGAAAUUCAAAUUAGAUCAAAUUUGUUAUCAUUUUUCAGUGGUUCUUGCAUAAGAGUCAUCAGGAUGAUUUGGUCAUUUCAGAGAUGUACCCUUUAUAGCUCAACUUUAGUUAUUGUUGCUGGUCUUUGUCUGUUUUGCGAUGUGUGUCUAUAUGUCAACAUUUUUACUUAAACAAUAUCUCCUACUAAACCUUUGGGCAAAGCUUGAUGAAACUGGCAGGAAUAUUCCUGGCAUGAAGCUCCUUCAAUGUUGCUCCAAGAAUUGUUUUCCAUGAAAUCCUUGUUGCCCUGGCAACCAAAAGGAAAAACUUAAAAAAUCUACUCUGAAACUGCAAGGACUUGGGCUGAGAUAUUUAGCAUGAAACAUUGUGUGGUGGACCUUUACCUGUGGGCAAGUCGAUUUUUUGUCGAGCCCACUUAUGGAGAGCUCGACAUAUUUGUCACAGUUGGCGGUUUGGUGUAUGUGGAUCAGUCCGUCAGUAUGAAAGUCCGGGUUAGGCUUGUCUGGAGCGUAAGUCUGUUAUUGAUUGGAGGAAUUUCAAAUAACUUGCAAUAAAUGUUCACAAUCAUGACACGGCCGGUCACUGCUCAAGAAAACGUCAAUAUCUCAAAGGUCAAGGUCACACUUUGAGUUCAAAUGUCAAAAAUGGCCAUAAAUGACCUUGUCUGGGCCAUUAUUAUGUCAUUCAUUGUCAGAAUUAAAUUCAAUUUAAAAUCAUGUGUUCACCAUAAUUUGACGGUGUUGCAUGGGAAGGAAUAACGUCGAAAUCUCGAAGGUCAAGGUCACACUUUUAGUUCAAAAGUAAUAAAUGGCCAUAAAUGAGCUUGUCCGGGCCAUAACUGUGUCAUUCAUUGUAAAAUUCUUAAAUCAUUAAGCACAUUUGUUCACCAUCACUCGACGAUGUGUCAUAAGAAAGAAUUACGUCAAAAUCUCCAAACUCAAGAUUACACUUAAGAGUUCAAAGGUUAAUUGGUGGGACUUGUACCAUGAUUGUUCAAACUAUGUUCCUGGGGUCAAAAUUGCCCCACUGGGGAGGGAAAUGUAAUUUCCUUAUUAGUUUAUUAAAAAACCUCAAAAACAAAAAUGUUCUCAUAAAUCACAAGGCCUAGAGCAAAGAUAUUUGACAUGAAAGUUCAUCUUGUGGACCUUCACCAAGAUUGUUCAAGUAUCAUUGGAUCAUAUUUGCCCCACCCUCGGAUCAAAUUUGUUUUCCUUCUAUAAUAUAUAUAAUGAACACUUAAAAAUAUUCUUCUCAAAAACUGCAGUGCGAACAUACAUAUUUUGCAUAAAACAUCAUCUGGUGAACUUCUAUACAGAUUUUUAGAAUUAUCGGCUGGGGGUACCAAUGAUAAAUUCAUUGAAUUUACCUGCUAAGAUUAAUUUGCUUUGUGGAUAUGCAAUAACUUGCAAUGUUUUUAAAGUGAUUGAAUGGUUCAACAUUAACAUAAAAUUAAAAAGAAAAAAACUAUUUCAUGCAUCAUAUUAUACUUAUAAAAAGCCAUAAUUGUAAUGCUUUCAUGGAAAAAAAUGAAUGUUUGCUUAAUUUUCAAAAAUAUUAAUAAAUCUUUAAUGUUGAGGAUUCUUCAUAAAGGUUUUACGUGUGCACAGAAUGUUAUGGUAAUCUCCAAAGCAUUCCCAUUACAAAAUACAUCCGAUGUCUAUGGAUAAGUUAUUUUUAUGCCCCCUUUCGAAGAAAAGGGGGUAUAUAGUUUUCGCACUGUCUGUCAGUCUGUCACACUUUUCGUGUCGGCUUUCUAAUUCAAAUAAUUUUCAUUCGAUCUUUACCAAACUUGGUCAGAAGUUGUGUCUAGACAAUAUCUAGGUCAAGUUCGAAUAUGGGUUAUGCCGGGUCAAAAACUAGGUCACGGGGUCACUUAGUGCAUUUCAAGGAUUUAGCAUGGUGUCUGCUCUCUAAUUGAAGUAGUUUGCAUCAACAUUCAUGCGCCUGUCAAGUAUCGGGCAUUCAGCGUGAGAGUCGCGCAUUUACGCAGCAAAACACCCUCUCACACAGCCAAAUCUUAUGCUCUCCUUUUUUUAUACGCCCGUUUUAAAAAACGGGACGUAUUAUAGUUUCACCCUUGGCGGACGGCGUCCACAGCAGUGUCCGCUCUCUAAUUUAAAUAGUUUUCAUCCGAUCUUCACCAAACUUGGUCAGAAGUUGUGUCUAGACAAUAUCUAUGUCAAGUUCAAAUAUGGGUCAUGCCGGGUCAAAAACUAGGUCACGAGGUCACUUAGUGCAUUUCAAGGAUUUAGCAUGGUGUCUGCUUUCUAAUUGAAGUAGAUUUCACCCGAUCUUCACCAAAUUUGGUCAGAAGUUGUGUCUAGAUGAUAUGUAGGUCAAGUUGGAAUAUGGGUCAUGCAGGGUCAAAAACGAGGUCACAAGGUCACAUUUUGCAUUUCAAGUAUUUAGCAUGGUGUCCGCUCUCUUAUUUAAGUAGUUUUCAUAUGAUCUUCACCAAAUUUAGUCAGAUGUUAUACUAAAUGAUAUCUAGGUCAAGUUUAAAUAUGGGUCAUGCCGGGUCAAUAACUAGGUCUCGAGGUCACUUAGUGCAUUUCAAGCAUUGAGCAUGGUGUCCAAAACCUUCGAACGGGCGUAUCUUGUGACAGUUUGGCACUCUUGUUUAAAACUGACGAUGCAUGAAACUAUUUUCACUCAUAUUUUUUAUGUAAUUUAAAUGCCAAAAUUUAGAAAAUGCAUAUGAAUGUGAAACGAAACUGUAAGUAAGUAAAUAGUGUUACAGUUACUGUACAAACAACCCAUUUUUCAAAGGAAGCGUUUUUUUUUUGUAAACUGUACUGAUGGUUUUGCUAGUUAUGCCAUAGGUUGUUGAUAACUCGCGUUUGUUCAGCUAAUUUCAUUAUUUCUUUUAUAGCCAUUAAUGUGUUAUCAUGGUCAUUGAUGUGAACAAAAGCAAACUGUUAUUUUUACAGCAUCCAGUAAAAAUACCCAUAUUAUAAAUCACACGGGUACUACUGCUCUAAUGUUUGAUCAAGAAUGCAUCUAAUGGAUAAUCAAACUAGUGGUUUCACUCAAUUGAUUUUUGCAUAUAUAGGUAGGUGUACCUAGAGAUUGAGCUGGAGACAGUGAAGGUGCUGACCUCUGUGUGGAACACUUAGAAGCUGGCAAGUUUUCAUAUUGAAGGGUAAGGUUCCCAACUGCCCAUCACACACAGAAUGUAGCUUGUCGUCUUCCGCAGUAAAAACUGGGUGCUGGAAGAUGCUUACUGCUAUAUUGACUGCUUCUAAGCGCUUCCAGGACCUAAAAAUUAUCUCCCAGCAGCAACCUCCCCAAGGUGUGACGAGAGUCUUCAAG